rnacentral:tRNA from 3 species
GCAGCCGUGGCGGAAUUGGCAUACGCGCUAGACUAAGGAUCUAGUCCAGAUUCUGGGUAGGGGUUCAAGUCCCCUCGGCUGCA